UACGGGGGGGGCAAGCGUUGUUCGGAAUUACUGGGCGUAAAGGGCUCGUAGGCGGCCAACUAAGUCGGACGUGAAAUCCCUCAGCUUAACUGGGGAACUGCGUCCGAUACUGGAUGGCUUGGAUUUGGGAGAGGGAUGCGGAAUUCCAGGUGUAGCGGUGAGAUGCGUAGAUAUCUGGAGGAACACCGGUGGCGAAGGCGGCAUCCUGGACCAAUAUUGACGCUGAGGAGCGAAAGCCAGGGGAGCAAACGGG
rnacentral:rRNA from 1 species